ensembl:lncRNA novel transcript
GAAGAUGUGAAGAUGGAGGUAGAGAUUGGAUUGAUUCAUCUUCUACACGCCAAGAAUACCUUUUAUCAUGAGAUUCAGCUUUCCCACCGGUUGCGAGCCUACAUUGGAUAAUUAGAACAUCAUAAGAUCCUCAGUAACAAUGAGUCAAUUUUGUUAUAAUUAUUUCUAACAUACUAUUUUUCAAAAACUGCUGCUCAAGCAAUUGAGUGUUGGAAAUUCUUGGGAAAAGUACACCCAUGACCUAAAUAAGUUUUCUGAACAAUCCUUCCUUUUUAGUUUGUUAUUGAAAUUGAUGUCUGCAACAUUCAAUAUAAUUUGAGCUUUUAGGUCAUUGUUACGGAUUGAAUUGUGCCCCUCCUCCUUCCUGUUCAUAUGUUGAAGCACUAAGCUGCACUAUCACAGUAUAUGACUGUAUUUGGAGAUAAAGCGUUUAUAGAGGUAAUGAAGAUUAAAUGAGGUCAUAGGGUGGGCCCUAA